UUGAUUCAUUUGUUUGGUUACUCAGAGGGAGAUUCCGCCGGCGGCGAAGGCAAGAGUUUGGGUCCCCCGGCGGGCGCCUGGUUCCGGCGGCCCUCGCGGGCCUUCCGGGGCGUUAACCCGCCGAAGCAACAGUAAAGGUAUAAGUUCACAGGGGUUUGGGAGUAGAAUAACUCGGUAAUGAUCCCUCCGCUGGUUCACCAACGGAGA
rnacentral:misc_RNA from 1 species